rnacentral:rRNA from 1 species
AGCAGCCGCGGUAAUUCCAGCUCCAAUAGCGUAUAUUAAAGUUGUUGCAGUUAAAAAGCUCGUAGUUGAAUUUCGGGAUCAAUAUAUCGGUCGUGCCAUCGGUACGUACUGGUAUCAUUGGUUUCUCCUUUCUGACGAACCAUGGUGUCAUUAAUUUGGUGUUAUGGGAAGUUAGGACUGUUACUUUGAAAAAAUUAGAGUGUUUAAAGCAGGCUUUGGCUUGAAUACAUUAGCAUGGAAUAAUGAAAUAGGACGUUCGAACCUAUUUUGUUGGUUUCUAGGAUCAACGUAAUGAUUAAUAGGGAUAGUUGGGGGCAUUAGUAUUCAAUUGUCAGAGGUGAAAUUCUUGGAUUUAUUGAAGACUAACUACUGCGAAAGCAUUUGCCAAGGAUGUUUUCAUUAAUCAAGAACGAAAGUUAGGGAUCGAAGACGAUCAGAUACCGUCGUAGUCUUAACCAUAAACUAUGACCGACUAGGGAUCGGAUGAUGUUAAUUUUUAAUGUACUCAUUCGGCGCCUUA